rnacentral:lncRNA from 1 species
ACUCAAACAGAAUCCUAACCAAAUCUGAUUCCACGCCGCGUGUGUCGGGAUCUGCCACCAACCCCGUCGUUAUCUGGUCCAUAGCCAUGGCUAUAUAGGCGAGAACUGAGGAUCAAUCGCUGGCAAGAAAAGAGAUAGAGAGAGUUGGAUCCGUCGUCCAAACUCCGGCUAACCAGCAUCUGGCCCUCGGGAUAGGUCCACGCGUAUUCUGGGCCUUGCCAAGCUCUGGGAUGGUCGUGGGGUGGCGCGCGCGCUCGCCGUCGAGUAGGCCUCCCUGUGGAGCCACAUCUCGCCAUGGGGGAAGUUAUCCACUGCUCCACCGUCGGUAAAAAUACUCCUAGAACUAUUCUUGGUCAUGUCCGCUUCGCGUUGUGCUACUCCGAUUGGAGUUCGGGCAUCGGGGUUCUGGUUUCGCGUGCGCCGGUGAGCUGUCGGGGCAGAUCUGUUCUUGCACCGACAUGUCUUGCGGUCGGGAGCUAGAAGAUGUGUGGAGUCCAUCGAUCUGGUGAUCAACGGUAGCUAUUGGGGGGGGGGGGGGGGUGAAGUAGCUCGGCCACUAACCGUAGAUCUCGACAGGAAUGGUUGCAAUUAGAUUAUGAAUACCGUUUCGUGCGAUGUGAUCCAUGCCAUUGAUCUUUGAUCUAGCGAUUACGAGUGCAUAACAAUUCAGUAUUGGGUUUGGACCGGUGGAUUGCGAUCCGAGUGUUGCCGUGGUGUCCUGACUCUGAUCUAGUCUGGGACGUUUAAUUUAGAUUCUACGGCUUAGCUCGAUCUGUACCUCUUCGUCGUGGCAAAAUUCAUAAAGAUUCCCUAGAGUUUUAGGAAAUUAACCCGCCAUCCUUUCUAGUUCGAAGACAACUGAUACCAAGUACAAAUUUUAGCGCAUUAACCCCCUGGGUUAUGGAUAAUUGGUACCCGCGGUCCAAAAGUCGUAUAAAUGUAAAAAUAAAUAGAGAAAUCUGUUUUUAGUAUAAAACCAAAUAUAAGAAGCAUGGAUAAUUCAUAUUUGGAUCAUGUUAACUCCGAUUUAAUCCGUUUAAAUUGCGUUGGUUCCGGAAUGAAAUUACCUACUCCAUCACAACGUUAUCUUUAUCAUAUCAUACAUUUUUAUAAUUAAAUAUUUAUUUAACAUGUAUGUAGUAGAUUAACCAUACUAAUCAAAGUUAAAUAUGCCCAUAAUUAUGAACUGACCAAGAUAUAAUCUCUAAUCCGAUUGUAACUUGGGUUAAAAAUGAAAAUGAUUAUUUAUUUGUAAUAUUUUCUCACAUGAUUUAUAUUAAUCAACAUAGAAUAUAAUUUAAUUGAUUAAUCACCUAAAACUUCAUAAAACCAUAUCUUUUCAACUGUAACUCCGAAUUUAGUGGUUCUCGAAUCCACGAUCUCGUAGCAUCGCGUAGAAGAUUCUUACGCUGUUUGUUCUCAUGAUUGGUGUAUUGUUAUUUUUAUGUACUCUUUGUCUAUUUGUAUGUUUUGCUACGAGUAGCGAUGAGGUCACGGGAAUCUGAAGACUAACUUGGUACCUGGAAUCUCGAGUCUAAGACAAGUUGUGCCCUUAAUCACUUUUCUUUACCUAAUAAUGUUCAUGUUAAUCAUUGUGACAUGCUCAUGUUAAUUUGAUGGGACCCAAUAGGUUUCCCUAGCAUUUUAUCCCCUACCUUGCAAACAAAAGCACUAUUGGGUAGUUUUGCUAUUGCUCUACCUGGUUUUGGGAAAUUAAUGUUACAUUAUGAUCAUGUUCUAGUUAUACUGUUGUUUUAAUUAUUUUUCAUGAUAAGAUUAUUAUGUUAAUUGGAACAUGGAGCGACCACCCGGGAAAACAGUGCUACCAUAAGGGUGGUAUGAGACGCCUUUGGCUAACUAAUUAGGAAAGCUAGUGGAAGACUAUCUUACCCGAAAGGGGCAAGGGCAGUAGGGGAGCUGUGUACAGGGAGGUUCUCGGGUCGAUCAUGCUGCAAUGGCUUUUCGGAUGAGGAAUUCCUAUAUUGCCCUUCUCAGAAACCGUAGCGGGUUUUCGGAAGCUAGUGGAACUUUGUAAAGGCUUCGUAGUGGUACCCUGCCUCGUCUCCUCGGUAGAGAUGAAUGGGAAGUCGUGAUCCCUUGUCAAAUGGGUAACACGACUUGUGGGUAAAGAUGCGCAACCUCUGUAGAGUGUAAAACUAGUAUAUCAGACGUGCUCAAGGUUAUGAGCAGCUCGGACCCUCACAUGAGUAAUUUAUGAAACUAAACUUAAUUUGUCAUUCGCAUUGCAUCAUGGGUAUUGUUAUUAAUUUUAAUCUCUUACUUAUUUGGAUUGGUAUCUACUUAUACUUAGUAACUGCUAAUAAAAUUUUGACCAACUCUAAAAGCAAUGCUCAGCUUUAACCAUCUUCUUUGGUAAGCCUUACACUUCACAUGAGCUCCCACCUUUGGUGUGUUCAUGCACAUUAUUCCCCACAACUUGUUGAGCGAUGAACAUAUGUGAGCUUACCCUCGCUGUACUCACAUCCCCCCAGGUCAAGAACAGGUACCGCAGGAUGAUGCGCAUGAAGGAUGUUGUGAUGAGUUCAUGAGUGGUCUAGACCAUCGUCUCCCAGUCAACUAUGGUUGCUGGAUCGAUGUAUUCGUAUGAUGUAUUUAUUUAUUUAUUUUGUAUAGAACUCCUAUAGUAAAGAUGUGACAUUCGUUUCUGUAGCAUGAGCCAUCAUAUGUGUGAGGCUUGAUCCCAGCAUACUUGGUGAUUAUUUUUACGCCCGGGUUUUGGUGCCCCUAGAACCCGGGUGUGACAAUGUGCAAAACAAUAAAUAUAAUAAGCAAAAGCUAGCUGUUUCAUAAUCAAAGUUUUGAACCCUU